AUUGAACGCUGGCGGCAGGCCUAACACAUGCAAGUCGAGCGGAGCGGCGGAAGGGGGAGUAAUGCCUAGGAAUAUGCCUGUUCGUGGGGGAUCACGACCGGUAACGGGCGCUAAUACCGCAUACUAUCAGAUGAGCCUAGGUUGGAUUUGCUCGCUGGUGGGGUAAUGGCCUUCCAAGUCGACGAUGCGAAACUGGUCUGAGCGGAGGAUCAACAACACUGGAACUGAGACACGGACCAGACUCCUACGGGAGGCAGCAGUGGGGAAUAUUGGACAAUGGGCGAAAGUCUGAUCCAGCCAUGCCGCGUGUGUGAAGAAGGUCUUCGGAUUGUAAAGCACUUUAGUUAGGGAGGCGUUACCAACAGAGUAAGCAACGGCUAACUUCGUGCCAGCAGCCGCGGUAAUAC
rnacentral:rRNA from 1 species